rnacentral:SRP_RNA from 1 species
CUGUGCUAAACGGAGGGUUAGCGGUCCUCUUUUCCUGAAAACCGCUAUAUGCAGGGUUGAAUUCCGUUGAGCGGGUCAUUAUGAACGCUAAAUAAUAUAGAAAGUAUGUUGACUUUUAAAGCUUUAUACAAUAACAUUGCUUCUAAACCCCGCCAGAUCUGGAAAGAAGCAACGGUAGGAAGUGGUUUAUGUGAUAUAAAUAACUUUAGAAUAGUAUCUUUUUUUAUUGUAGAUCGUAAACAAAUGAUUCAAUCAACGGUGCACAG